rnacentral:rRNA from 1 species
CCUACGGGUGGCAGCAGUGAGGAAUAUUGGUCAAUGGACGAGAGUCUGAACCAGCCAAGUAGCGUGAAGGAUGACUGCCCUAUGGGUUGUAAACUUCUUUUAUAUGGGAAUAAAAUGUUCCACGUGUGGGAUUUUGUAUGUACCAUAUGAAUAAGGAUCGGCUAACUCCGUGCCAGCAGCCGCGGUAAUACGGAGGAUCCGAGCGUUAUCCGGAUUUAUUGGGUUUAAAGGGAGCGUAGGUGGAUUGUUAAGUCAGUUGUGAAAGUUUGCGGCUCAACCGUAAAAUUGAAGUUGAAACUGGCAGUCUUGAGUACAGUAGAGGUGGGCGGAAUUCGUGGUGUAGCGGUGAAAUGCUUAGAUAUCACGGAGAACUCCGAUUGCGAAGGCAGUUCACUGGACUGCAACUGACACUGAGGCUCGAAAGUGUGGGUAUCAAACAGGAUUAGAUACCCCAGUAGUC